rnacentral:piRNA from 1 species
UGAGCUAACAGUUGUGACACAUGGCU